rnacentral:rRNA from 1 species
GACGAACGCUGGCGGCGUGCUUAACACAUGCAAGUCGAACGGUGAUCUUGAGAGCUUGCUCUUGGGUGAUCAGUGGCGAACGGGUGAGUAACACGUGAGUAACCUGCCCCUGACUCUGGAAUAACUUCGGGAAACCGAUGCUAAUACCGGAUAUGACACAGAGCCGCAUGGUUUCUGUGUGGAAAGUUUUUCGGUUGGGGAUGGACUCGCGGCCUAUCAGCUUGUUGGUGAGGUAAUGGCUCACCAAGGCGACGACGGGUAGCCGGCCUGAGAGGGCGAUCGGCCACACUGGGACUGAGACACGGCCCAGACUCCUACGGGAGGCUG